GUAGUAGCAAAUACUCUGGCGAGACCCCGGAGGCCCGAAGUGGAGAAGGGUUUCGUGUGAACAGCCAUUGCACACGAGUCAGUCGAUCCUAACCCCUAGGAGAAAUCCAAUGUAUGCCGAGCCUGCGGCUUCGACGGGGGAAAGGGAAUCCGGUUCCUAUUCCGGAACCCGGUUGCGGAACCGUAUCCACUUCGCGCCUGCGGGCGCGGAGUUCGGCGUGGUAACACAAACUGACCCGGAGAAGCCGUCGGGAGGUCGGGGAAGAGUUUUCUUUUCUGUUUGAGCGUUCGGGUUCCCUGGAAAUCUUUCGCAGAGAGAGAGGGAAUGGAGCGCGUAGAGCACCGCAGUUGCGGCGGUGUCCCGACAGGCCCCUCGGACCUUGAAAAUCCGGGUGAGGGAUACGUGGAGAAAUCGCACCGGAUCGUACCCAUAUCCGCAGCAGGUCUCCAAGGUUAACCGCCUCUGGGCGAUAGAUGAAUGUAGGUAAGGGAAGUCGGCAAGCUCGAUCCGUAACUUCGGGAUAAGGAU
rnacentral:rRNA from 1 species